UUGGUUUUCCAGAGUCUAACUUCUUGAGUUCUUUGUAUAUAUUGGAUAUUAGCACUCUAUUGGAUGUAGGGUUGGUAAAGAUCUUUUCUCAAUCUGUAGGAUGCCGUUUUGUCCUAUUGGCAGUGCCCUUUGCCUUACAGAAGCUUUUCAGUUUCAUGAGGUCCUAUUUGCCAAUUGUUGAUCUUAGAGCCUGAUUCAUUGGUGUUCUGUUGAGGAAAAUUUCCUCUGUGCUGAUGUGUUCGAGGCUCUUAAUCGCUUUCUCUUCUAUUAGAUUCCGUGUAUCUGGUUUUAUGUUGAGGUCCUUGAUCCACUUGCUUUGUGCAAGGUGACAAAUAUGGAUCUAUUUUCAUAUUUCUAUAUACAGACAGCCAGUUAGACCAGCACUGUUUAUUAAAGAUACUUUCUUUUUUUCCAUUGUAUAUUUUUGGCUUCUUUGUCAAAGAUCAAGUGUGUGGUUUUAUUUCUGUGUCUUCAAUUCUAUUCCAUUGAUCAAUGUGUUUGUCUCUGUACCAAUAUCAUGCAGUUUUUAUCACAGUUGCUCUGUAGUACAGCUUGAGGUCAGGGAUGGUGAUUCCCCCAGAAGAUCUUUUAUUGUUGAGAAUUGUUUUCCCUAUCCUGGGUUUUUUGUUACUCCAGACGAAGUUGAGAAUUGCUCUUUCUAUUUCUGUGAAGAAUUGAGUUGGAAUUUUGAUGGGGAUUGCGUUGAAUCUGUAGAUUGCUUUUGGUAAGAUGGACAUUUUUACUAUGUUAAUCCCACCAAUCCAUGAACACGGGAGAUCUUUCCAUCUCCUGAAGUCAUCUUUGAUUUCUUUCUUCAGAGACUUAAAGUUCUUGUCAUACAGAUCUUUCACUUGUUUGGUUAGAGUCACACCAAGAUAUUUUAUAUUAUUUGUGACUAUUGUGAAGGGUGUUGUUUCCCUAUUUUUUUCUCAGUCCAUUUAUCCUUUGUGUAGAGGAAGGCUACUGAUAUGUUUGAGUUAAUUUUAUAUCCAGCCACUUUGCUGAAGUUGUUUAUCAUGAGUAGUGCUACGUGCUGCUAUCCUGACACUACUGAGUUGGACUGCUGAUAUAUCUGUGACGUGUCUGCAAGUAGAUCGAGCUGCUGCUGCUGACCUGUGAACUGAACUAUUGAUUUCUUGACAAUGCAGAUGUGAUUUGCACCAAAGAACCAUUUCUAAACAGGUUUGACAUUCUAAUGUUGCAUCGUAUUCUGUCAACCCGCACUGUAUGCAAUUACUAAAAUUGCAGGUAAAGGAUGUUCUAGAAACUUGGAAAUGAGGAGAAGAUGAGCCAUUCCUCUUAUUCACUUAGAGAUGUUAUGGCAUUUAAUACGUUUU